GAUGAACGCUGGCGGCGUGCUUAACACAUGCAAGUCGAACGGUGAACACGGAGCUUGCUCUGUGGGAUCAGUGGCGAACGGGUGAGUAACACGUGAGCAACCUGCCCCUGACUCUGGGAUAAGCGCUGGAAACGGCGUCUAAUACUGGAUAUGUGACGUGACCGCAUGGUCUGCGUUUGGAAAGAUUUUUCGGUUGGGGAUGGGCUCGCGGCCUAUCAGCUUGUUGGUGAGGUAAUGGCUCACCAAGGCGUCGACGGGUAGUCGGCCUGAGAGGGUGACCGGCCACACUGGGACUGAGACACGGCCCAGACUCCUACGGGAGGCAGCAGUGGGGAAUAUUGCACAAUGGGCGCAAGCCUGAUGCAGCAACGCCGCGUGAGGGAUGACGGCCUUCGGGUUGUAAACCUCUUUUAGCAGGGAAGAAGCGGAAGUGACGGUACCUGCAGAAAAAGCGCCGGCUAACUACGUG
rnacentral:rRNA from 1 species